rnacentral:snoRNA from 1 species
CGGGCCAGUGAUGAGAAUGUGUCGUGAACGAAGGAAUAGGACUAACCCAAUUCUGUGCACUGGAGGGUCAAU